UACGUAGGUGGCAAGCGUUGUCCGGAUUUACUGGGCGUAAAGAGCGCGCAGGCGGUCGUUCAAGUCGCGUGUGAAAGCCCCCGGCUCAACUGGGGAGGGUCACGCGAUACUGAUCGACUCGAAGGCAGGAGAGGGUAGUGGAAUUCCCGGUGUAGUGGUGAAAUGCGUAGAUAUCGGAAAGAACACCAACGGCGAAAGCACUCUGCUGGGCCGACACUGACACUGAGAGACGAAAGCUAGGGGAGCAAAUGGG
rnacentral:rRNA from 1 species